AUAAUGGGUCAGCGACUUAUAUUCUGUAGCAAGGUUAACCGAAUAGGGGAGCCGAAGGGAAACCGAGUCUUAACUGGGCGUUAAGUUGCAGGGUAUAGACCCGAAACCCGGUGAUCUAGCCAUGGGCAGGUUGAAGGUUGGGUAACACUAACUGGAGGACCGAACCGACUAAUGUUGAAAAAUUAGCGGAUGACUUGUGGCUGGGGGUGAAAGGCCAAUCAAACCGGGAGAUAGCUGGUUCUCCCCGAAAGCUAUUUAGGUAGCGCCUCGUGAAUUCAUCUCCGGGGGUAGAGCACUGUUUCGGCAAGGGGGUCAUCCCGACUUACCAACCCGAUGCAAACUGCGAAUACCGGAGAAUGUUAUCACGGGAGACACACGGCGGGUGCUAACGUCCGUCGUGAAGAGGGAAACAACCCAGACCGCCAGCUAAGGUCCCAAAGUCAUGGUUAAGUGGGAAACGAUGUGGGAAGGCCCAGACAGCCAGGAUGUUGGCUUAGAAGCAGCCAUCAUUUAAAGAAAGCGUAAUAGCUCACUGGUCGAGUCGGCCUGCGCGGAAGAUGUAACGGGGCUAAACCAUGCACCGAAGCUGCGGCAGCGACGCUGAUGCGUUGUUGGGUAGGGGAGCGUUCUGUAAGCCUGUGAAGGUGUGCUGUGAGGCAUGCUGGAGGUAUCAGAAGUGCGAAUGCUGACAUAAGUAACGAUAAAGCGGGUGAAAAGCCCGCUCGCCGGAAGACCAAGGGUUCCUGUCCAACGUUAAUCGGGGCAGGGUGAGUCGACCCCUAAGGCGAGGCCGAAAGGCGUAGUCGAUGGGAAACAGGUUAAUAUUCCUGUACUUGGUGUUACUGCGAAGGGGGGACGGAGAAGGCUAUGUUGGCCGGGCGACGGUUGUCCCGGUUUAAGCGUGUAGGCUGGUUUUCCAGGCAAAUCCGGAAAAUCAAGGCUGAGGCGUGAUGACGAGGCACUACGGUGCUGAAGCAACAAAUGCCCUGCUUCCAGGAAAAGCCUCUAAGCAUCAGGUAACAUCAAAUCGUACCCCAAACCGACACAGGUGGUCAGGUAGAGAAUACCAAGGCGCUUGAGAGAACUCGGGUGAAGGAACUAGGCAAAAUGGUGCCGUAACUUCGGGAGAAGGCACGCUGAUAUGUAGGUGAAGUCCCUCGCGGAUGGAGCUGAAAUCAGUCGAAGAUACCAGCUGGCUGCAACUGUUUAUUAAAAACACAGCACUGUGCAAACACGAAAGUGGACGUAUACGGUGUGACGCCUGCCCGGUGCCGGAAGGUUAAUUGAUGGGGUCAGCGCAAGCGAAGCUCUUGAUCGAAGCCCCGGUAAACGGCGGCCGUAACUAUAACGGUCCUAAGGUAGCGAAAUUCCUUGUCGGGUAAGUUCCGACCUGCACGAAUGGCGUAAUGAUGGCCAGGCUGUCUCCACCCGAGACUCAGUGAAAUUGAACUCGCUGUGAAGAUGCAGUGUACCCGCGGCAAGACGGAAAGACCCCGUGAACCUUUACUAUAGCUUGACACUGAACAUUGAGCCUUGAUGUGUAGGAUAGGUGGGAGGCUUUGAAGUGUGGACGCCAGUCUGCAUGGAGCCGGCCUUGAAAUACCACCCUUUAAUGUUUGAUGUUCUAACGUUGACCCGUGAUCCGGGUUGCGGACAGUGUCUGGUGGGUAGUUUGACUGGGGCGGUCUCCUCCUAAAGAGUAACGGAGGAGCACGAAGGUUGGCUAAUCCUGGUCGGACAUCAGGAGGUUAGUGCAAUGGCAUAAGCCAGCUUGACUGCGAGCGUGACGGCGCGAGCAGGUGCGAAAGCAGGUCAUAGUGAUCCGGUGGUUCUGAAUGGAAGGGCCAUCGCUCAACGGAUAAAAGGUACUCCGGGGAUAACAGGCUGAUACCGCCCAAGAGUUCAUAUCGACGGCGGUGUUUGGCACCUCGA
rnacentral:rRNA from 1 species